rnacentral:rRNA from 1 species
UACGGGGGGGGGCAAGCGUUGUUCGGAAUUACUGGGCGUAAAGGGCUCGUAGGCGGCCAACUAAGUCAGACGUGAAAUCCCCAGGCUUAACCUGGGAACUGCAUCUGAUACUGGAUGGCUUGAGAUUGGGAGAGGGAUGCGGAAUUCCAGGUGUAGCGGUGAAAUGCGUAGAUAUCUGGAGGAACACCGGUGGCGAAGGCGGCAUCCUGGACCAACACUGACGCUGAGGAGCGAAAGCCAGGGGAGCAAACGGG